AAUGAACUUGGGGACAGACAACUACCUGAACUGCAAAAUAGCUGAAUAACUUUAUGGGCACAGACUUAGAAGGAAACAUGUUUAGUUCAGAGGCGGCCAGCAAAGAUGAGCCCUAGUGAAGCUGCGGGCUUUGGUGAAGACUCAGAGGAGUCACACUUCAAAAAUCGGGGGACAGGAAAUAACUCAGCUUCCUUAGGGAUUGGCCUGCUGUGAACAAUCUCACUAGCAGAACUGAUGCAGGGAUCCAGUACUACUGGCGCCCCUACCCACUUUCCAGAAAUAAAUUUCUGUGGUUUCUGCAGCAAGAUCAUUGAUUUUUUCCCUACACAUUCUUGAUCCAUGUGUGGUCCUGAACAAAAAUGACCUAAUUCCUGGAUGACAAGACAACGUGAUGGGACUGAAACCCAUGCGCCAAUGUAAAUGGAUCCCAAGCAGAUCCAGAUAUCAAUGUUAUUAAUGCUGAUACUUUCCCUCUUCCACCCCAAAUACAUGACACAAUGUGUGACAAGCACUUAGGACAGAAAGGAAAAUGUGGGUGACAGAGAGCAACAAAGCUCUUCUGAAAUACUACAUGGAGUUGGCUGUCUGCUGAAUUCAUACAGAGUUAUGGCACAUCAGGUGCCGUGAUUUUUUUCCAGACUGCUACAAACAAAAUAAAAGCCACCAAAUGAGAAAAAGAAUAAAACAUGGCUAGAGCUAAAGCACAAGCAACAACAGAAAUAACAGUUGAUGUUUAAAAAAAGAGCAAAAAGAGCUCUGCAGACCUCAGUUCUCCUGAUAAAUUCUAGCUCAAUCAAAUCUAGGCAUGACCCGGUUUUGACACCAUUAACAUAUUUCCCCAUUCUAAAGUUUCAAAGGAUGAUGAGAGGCUGAGGCCAGCCCUAAACUCUUGCCAGGAUAUUAGAAUAUCAUCAUGCUAUCAAAAAGCCACUUAGGAACCUCUGAGCUUCCCUGUCCCUUGUCACCCAGCCCCACAGGCGGGGAAGUGAAAAGGAAUAUGAACACACCAAAUACUUAAUAUUUGUGUUUCUGUGUGAAGGCAAGUUUUCUCCAGUGGCAGGGAGAGGGGCAAAUACUCAUUUAGAAAUAAAUUCCAAAGUAUUCUGUUCUUCCAGAAAAGAUCUGCCCUCAAGAGGAACGAAGAGCCUAACUGGGGAUUUCCCAAAGAGUAAGCAAUACAGGUGAGGGAAAAUACUCAACUCCAGGGCUCUCACCUUCCUGUCUCACCUGGGAGUAAAUUCAGACUAACCCCUAGCCAGAUAAAUAUAAAAACCUCACACUCACGUCCUAUUCACCUCAGUUCCUUUACCAGCACAUAACAUUUGCCUUUCAACACAACUUACAAGGCAUAGUAAAGUAAAAACCACACAGUUUGAACACAGAUAGUAAGCAUUAGAAUUACACUUCCUAUGGCAGAGAUGUAGGAAUUAUCAUCCUGGGAACUUAAAACCACUUCCAUUCCUAUGAUAAUGCAGAUAAUGAAAAAAGUGGACAACAUG